rnacentral:rRNA from 1 species
UACGUAGGGUGCAAGCGUUGUCCGGAAUUAUUGGGCGUAAAGAGCUCGUAGGCGGUCUGUCACGUCGGCUGUGAAAACCCGGGGCUCAACCCCGGGCCUGCAGUCGAUACGGGCAGACUAGAGUGCGGUAGGGGAGACUGGAAUUCCUGGUGUAGCGGUGAAAUGCGCAGAUAUCAGGAGGAACACCGGUGGCGAGGGCGGGUCUCUGGGCCGUAACUGACGCUGAGGAGCGAAAGCGUGGGGAGCGAACAGG